rnacentral:rRNA from 1 species
GACGAACCGUCCAAACGUUAUUCGGAAUUACUGGGCUUAAAGGGUUCGUAGGCGGCUUUGUAAGUGAGAUGUGAAAUCCCACGGCUCAACCGUGGAAGUGCAUUUCAUACUGCAAGGCUUGAGGGAGACAGAGGUAAGCGGAACUGAUGGUGGAGCGGUGAAAUGCGUUGAUAUCAUCAGGAACACCGGUGGCGAAAGCGGCUUACUGGGUCUCUUCUGACGCUGAGGUGCGAAAGCGUGGGGAGCAAACAGG